GAGACCUUGAUUUAACUGGAAAAAUGUGUGACUUUUAAUCAUUAAUAUAUGAGUUCGAACCUCAUAGGUCUUA
rnacentral:tRNA from 1 species